rnacentral:lncRNA from 1 species
CUAUGCCCCUCCAGGAGGUGAAGUGAAAUCUGCAAGAGUCCUGCUCGUUCAAGGCCUGCAUACAGGAAAGAAGCAGGGGAAAAGCGUUAGAAACAGCUUUUGUUCUACAGCAUUUUAAAAUAUAAUAGGUAUAUUGAAAAGUCUGAUUCAGUUACAAUCAGUGUAUGGAAUCACAAGAAGAUCCAUAAGAAACAAGGUGCUGGAUUUCUCCGUUGUGUUCGUCUUUUUCCAGUGCCAUCAACCACCUCAAAGACACUGGUUAUCAGAGGUUGGAUUUAUGCAAACUUGGGCCAAAGGACAGUUAGAAGACAGUAGCUGAAGAAGCAUCUGUAGGGAAUCCAGAAGGAGCAUUCAUGAAGAUGUUACAAGCCCGGAAGCAGCACAUGAGCACUGAGCUGACUAUUGAGUCGGAGGCGCCCUCAGACAGCAGUGGCAUCAACUUGUCAGGCUUUGGGAGUGAGCAGCUAGACACCAAUGACGAGAGUGAUGUUAGCAGCGCACUAAGUUACAUCUUGCCUUAUCUCUCACUGAGAAAUCUAGGUGAUCAGCUUGAAAUUCAGCUAACCGAGCAGCUACGGUCCCUCAUCCCCAACGAGGAUGUGAGAAAGUUCAUGUCUCAUGUUAUCUGGACCUUGAAAAUGGAAUGUUCAGAAACACAUGUGCAAGGGAGCUGUGCCAAGCUCAUGUCGCGAACAGGCCUCCUGAUGAAGCUUCUCAGCGAGCAGCAGGAAGCAAAGGCAUUGAAUGUAGAAUGGGAUACGGACCAACAAAAAACAAAUUAUAUUAAUGAGAACAUGGAACAGAAUGAACAGAAAGAGCAGAAGUCAAGUGAGCUCAUGAAAGAAGUUCCAGGAUAUGACUAUAAGAACAAACUCAUCUUCGCAAUAUCUGUGACUGUCAUACUAAUAAUUUUGAUUAUAAUUUUUUGUUUUAUAGAGGUAAAGACAAUAAUUAAUUCAGGUUUUCAAAAUACAAUCCUGUGUUUGUGUGGAUUCAGAAUCCACAAACUGAAAACCAACGUCACUUUCCCACUUGACAUUCUUCUUCUGUCAUUUAAGGCUGAGGUGUGCUUUGUUCUUUUACUGCAAUGUAUAUUCCAGGAUUGUUAAAGGAUCCUCGCUUCCAGGAGGUCUCUGUGAAAUAAAACCAAGUUAAUCCCACUAGACUAUUUUAAGAAGUUAAGUUGAUAUAAUAGCAAAAUUUCUCCCACCCAAAACUAUGUCAACAAUUGGAUGUACUCACUGAGUCACCCCUUACUCUGCCACUAAUUUAUUUCCUUGUUGCUUAAAUGAUGAGAGACAUAUAAUCUCCACCCUCACGGAGUUGUCAUCACCCUGGAGAGGAAGAAGACAGCCAAAAGAGAGAAGUAUUGUCUUGUAGACUUACUAGAUUCACAUAGUAUCAUCCUUCUCCAGUGUGUAAGGUGUUGUCUAAAUAGGUCCAGUUAAAGAACUACAGGGUAGCCAUUUUUAAAAAAAAAUUUUGGCCACGUUUUCAAAUUCACAGGGGAGGGGGAAUGUCUCAUACUCCAGCCCUCCUGAGCCUAGGCCCUCUGUGAGAUGUGUCACCAUUUCUUGGACACCAUAUGAGACAUUCCCCCUCGGAUUAGAGAUGCUCAACCUGCAUCAACAAAUCUAAAGCCUGCAUCUGGCUACCCUGGGGCGAGUCCUGUUUACAGUGCCUAUUCCUGGAGCUCGCCUCUUUUUGCCUUUUGUUUGAUUAUGUGAUGUAUUACUUUUCCCAGCAGGCCAGUGCUAGCAUACUGGAAGAGGGAUUUAAUAAGCUGGCACCCUUGAUGCUAUGCUCCUAAUCCAACCUUAUUUGCCUCAUUGGCCAUUUCCAUUAUGGUGGCAGCCCUCCAUUCCAGCCACAGCAGCCCCUCAGCGUCCCCCAGUCACACUGUCCCCAUUGCUGCUCAUCUGUGCCUUUGUCCAUCUACAAUGCCCUUAUUUCACUCUGCCUGUGGGAGUCCUGUGAAUCUCUCCAAAGCCAACUCAGUUCAUCUUUCUGCUUGAAACCUUCCCUGAAUAGGCCAGGUGCGGUGGCUCACGCCUGUAAUCCCAGCACUUUGGGAGGCCAAGGCAGGCGGAUCACAAGGUCAGGAGAUCGAGACCAUCCUGGCUAACACAGACCAUUCUCUACUAAAAAUGCAAAAAAUUAGCUGGGUGUGGUGGCGGGCGUGUGUCGUCCCAGCUACUUGUGAGGCUGAAGCAGGAAAAUGGCAUGAACCUGGGAGGUGGAGCAUGCAGCCAGCCAAGAUCGGGCCGCUGCACUCCAGCCUGGGGGACAGAGCGAGACUCUGCCUCAAAAAAAAAAAAAAAAAGAAACUUCCCUGAAUAUUCCAGCCCUCCUGAGCCUAGUCCCUUUGUGAGAUUUGUCCCCAUUUCUUGGACACCAUAUAAGAGACUUCAGAGGCUGAAGUGGGAGGAUUGCUUGAGCCUGGGAGGUCGAGGAUGCAGUGAGCUGUGGUCAUACCACUGCACUCUAGCCUGGGCAACAGAGCGAGACCUUGUCUCAAAAACAGCCACCACCAAAAACUAUCUUGGGAUUUGAAUAGGAUUACCUUAAAUUUGUAGAUUAAUUUGAGAAUUGACAUCUGUACGACAUUCUAGAACAUGGUAUUUCAUGUCAUGUAUUCAUUUCUUGUUAAUGUCUUUCAGAAGAGUUUUAGGGUUUCCAUCAUAUAGAUCUUACACGUCUUUUGUUAGAUAACAGAUCUUUGUAUUUUUGUUCCUAAAUACUUCAGACAUUUGUAUUGCCAUUGUAAAUGGGAUCUUUCUUCCAUUUUCUAGUUAGUUAUUGGUGGUACAUCUGAAAAGCAUUUGAGGUUUGUGUGCUGCUCUCUUGAUUUUGUUUCUAGCCACCGUACUGAAUUCUCAUAUUACUUCCAGUAAAAUCUUAGUUGAUUCUCUUAGGCUUCUUUGGCUAACAUUUAUUAUUUUAUAUGCAAAUAAUUAUAGUUUUGUCUCUUCCUUUUCAAUACUUACACUCUUUCCUUCCUUUCCUUUCUUUUUUUUUUCUUUCUCAGGGCCUUGUUGUCACCCAGACUGGAGAGCAAUGGUGUGAUCUAGCUCACUGUAACCUCAAACUCCUGGGCUUAAGGGAUCCUCCUGCCUCAGCUUCCUGAGUGGCUGGGACUACAGGCAGGCAGUGAAUUUUAAAACUUUUGGUGUAGAGACAAGAUCUUGCUAUGUUGCCCAGGCUGGUUUUCCUGCCACUUUAGAGCAGGUUUCCUUUUUUUCAUACUUUUAAGAGGUUUUUAUUAGGAAUUGUCCAUUGAAUGUUAGCUAAAACAGUCAAUAAAAUGCGUUAAGUACCAGCUACAUGCAAGACCCUAAGUUAGAUACAGUCAGCCCUCUUCAUCAGCAGGUCCACAUCUUCAGAUUCAACUAGAUAAGGCUGAAUAUUUGAAGAAAAAAACAAUAAAAAUACAAUUAGAAAGUACAGUAUAACAACUGUUGCCAUGAUACAAUAUCUAUACAUUUUAUUAGUGAUGACCUAAAGUUCAUGGGACCAGGCACGGUGACUCACACUUGUAAUCCCAACACUUUGGGAGGCCAACCUGGGCAGCAUAGUGAGACCUUGUCUUUAAUAAAAAUAAAAAUAAAAAAAUUAGCUAGUGUGGUGGUAUGCACCUGUAGUCCCAGCUACUCAAGAGGCUGAGGUGGGCAGAUCACUGGAGCCCAGGAGGUUGCGGCUGCUGUGAGCUGUGAUUGUGACACUGCUCUCCAGCCUGAGUGACAGAGGGUGAUCCUGUCUCUAAGUAAGUAAAUAAAUAAAGUAUAUGGGGGGGAUGUGUGUUGGUUAUAUGCAAACACUGCACCAUUAUACGUAAGGGAUUGAGCAUCCACAGAUUCUGGUAUGGUGUGGAGGCGAUAUCCUAGAACCAGUCGUCUGCAAGGUAGCAAGGAUGACUGAACUGUGGAAGAAUCAAAGCACUGUUAAACAGCAUACAAUUCCUGUCUUCAAAAAAGUUAUCUCAUCGGGUAGAUGAGACUUAAAAUGAAUAAAAGGAAUGAAUACACAUUGGAGAUAGUGGUUGUUGUGAUAGAUAACCUUAAUUGUGUUUUCUUCCAAAACGGGUGAAUUCACAUAAAAGGGCAUCAGAAAAAUACAAAGACAACCCAUCAAUAUCAGGAGCCUGAGCAUGAGUUAAAGCAUGUGGAUGGCCUAGAGCCAUGUUUUUAAAAUUGUUAUUAAAUAUUGGUUUUUUACUUAAAUCAAUGAAAACUUUCUUUACUUUGUGGUUGUGUUCCUCAAAAUGAGAAUUUUUAACAAUAAUAAAAAUAAAGCUUAUUAGAUCAUUUUUAAUGGUAAUAAAUUGGUUACUGAAGAUUUGACUAAAGAGAAAACUAGGCCAAUCUAAGUAGAGUCCAAAUGAAGUAGAAAGUCCAUAGAGAACAGGCAAAAAGGAAGUUGUGGAACCACAGACAGUAAAAGGAAAAAAUUGGCGGGGCGCAAUGGCUCAUACCUGUAAUCCCAGCACUUUGGGAGGCUGAGGUGGGUGGAUCGCUUGAGCCCAGUUCAGGCAACAUGACAAAACCCCCACCUCUACAAAAAAAAUAGUCAACAUGACAAAACCCCCAAUGUCUACAAAAAAAUACACAAAACAUAUGAGCCAGGGGUGGUGGUGUGCACUUGUAGUCCUAGCUACUUGGUAGGCUGAGGUGGGAGUAUCGCUUGAACCUGGGAGGUGGAGGUUGCAGUAAGCUGAGGUUGAGCUGUUAUACCCCAACCUGGGUGACAGUUGAAAGAGUGAGACCCUGUCUUUAAAAAAAAAAAAAAAAGGAAGAAAGCAAAGAAAAAAAAAUUUAUUUUUGUGACAAGUUCUCUUUCUGUCUCCCAAGCUGGAGUGCAAUGGCAUAAUCAUAGCCCACUGCAGCCUCAAACUCCUGGGCUCAAGGCAUCCUCCUGCCAUAAAGGCCUCCCAAAGUGUUGGGAUUACAGGCAUAAGCCACUGUGAGGCUAGAUUUUUUUUUUUUUUUUUUUUUUAAGCAAGGUUUGGCUCUGUCACCCAGGCUGGAGUGCAGUGGUGCAAUCUUGGCUCACUGCAACCUCUGCCUCCCAGGCUCAAGUGAUCCUCCUGCCUCAGCUUCUCAAGUAGGUGGAACUACAGGCACGUGCCACCAAGCCUGGCUAAUUUUUGUAUUUUUUGUAAAGAAGGGGUCUUGAUACGUUGCCCAGGCUGGUCUUAAAUUCCUGGGUUACAGUGAUCCACCCACCUCAGCCUCCCAAAGUGCUGGGAUUACAGGUGUGAGUCACCACGACUGGCCAAAAAAAGUUAAGUGUUAAAAUCAAAAAGAAAAUUCACCAAGCCAUUUUGCAUAUUUUUCUGGAAAGAUACAGAUACAUAUAUAUACAUAUAUAUAGAGAGAGAGAGAGAAAGAGAGAGAGAUCUGGACUGGACACCCUAUACUAUCAGUUGGGUACAACUUUGUUUCAGAAAGGACAAAGGGAACUGAUUAGAGUUAAGGCACAUAUAUGUGUGUGUGUGUGUGUGUGUAUUUUCCCAAUUCCUCAUACCACUCCUUUUUAUUAAUUUUUAUUGAGAUAUAAGUUAUACACCAUAAAUUCACCCUUUUAAAUAAGUGCAGAAUUUAGUGGGUUUUAGUAUAGUAUUCACAAGGCUGUACAGCCAUCACCACUAUUUAAUUCCAGAACAUUUUCAUCACCCCAGAAAGAAGCCCCAGAAUCACUGGCCCUGCUCCCCAUUUCCUCUCCUAUUUCCUGGCAAGUAUUUACUUCCUAUGAAUUUGCCCAUUUGGGACAUUUCAUAUAAAUCAUACAAUACAUGAUUUCACUAAAUAAGACUUUUGUGUGUGGCUUCAAACAAUUUUUAAAAAUUGAGGUAAAGUAGGCAUAAUAUAACAUUUACAGUCUAACCACUGCCCCCUCUCCCCACCUAUUUUUUGAGACAGGGUCUCACUCUGUCUUCCUGGCUGGAGUGCAGUGGUGUGAUCAUGACUCACUGCAACCUCAGCCUCCCCGGGGCUCAGGUGAUCCUCCCACCUCAGUCUCGCAAGUAACUGGCACCACAGGCACACACCACCAAACCUGGCCAAUUUUUGCAUUGUAGAGACAGGAUUUCGCUAUGUUGCCCAGGCUGGUCUUGAACUCCUGGACUCAAGUGAUCCUCCCACCUCAGCCUCCCAAAGUGCUGGUAUUACCGGCAUGAGCUACCACACCUGGCUGUCUCUAACCAGUUUUAAGUGUACAAUUCAGUAGUGUUAAGUAUAUUCACACUGUUGUAAAACAAAUUUCCAGAACUUUUUCAUCUUCCCAAAUUGAAACUCUGUACCUAUUAAACACUAAUUCCCCAUUCUCUCCUCCCAGCCCAUGGUAACCACCCUUCUACUUUCUGUCUUUAUGAAUCUGACCACUCUAAGUACCUCAUAUGAGAGGAAUCACACAGUAUUUGUCCUUUGGUGACUGGCUUAUUUCACUUAGCAUAAUGCCCUCAAGGGUUCUCCAUGUUGUAACAUGCGUCAGAAAUUCAUUCAAGGCUGAAUAAUAUAUCCGUUAUAUAGAUCAAUCACAUUUGAGUUAUCCAUUCAUCAGUUAAUGCACAUGUAGGUUAUUUCCACCUUUUGGUCAUUGAGAAUAAUGCUGCUGUAUACAUACGUGUAUGCGUUUCUGCAUGACUAUUUGUUUGCAAUUCUUUUGACUAUGUAUGUCUCGGCUCACUGCAACCUCCGCUUCCCGGGUUCAAGCGAUUCUCCUGCCUCAGCCUCUCGAGUAGCUGGGAUUAGAGGCACCUGCCACCACACCCGGCUAAUCUUUGUAUUAUUAGUAGAGACGGGGUUUCACCAUGUUGGCCAGGCUGGUCUCAAACUCCUGACCUCAGGUGAUCCACCCACCUCAGCCUCCCAAAGUGCUGGGAUUAGAAGUAUGAGCCACCACACCUGGCCAUGAAUUUGGUCCAGUGUCUGAACUUCACCUCUAGAGUCCCUUCCAGCCUCCUACCUCACUCCCACCUUGGCCUCCUGAGUAGCUGGGACAACAGGCUUGCGCCACCAUUAACCAGCUCAUUAAAAAAAAGUUUUUUUCUUUGUAAAUAUGGGGUCUCCCCAUGUUUCCCAGACUCCAAACCUAUUUCCUAACCUUUAUCAUUAUCUGCUUCUGUGGGAUGUGAAUGGAAGCGAGGUGUGCUACAUUCAGGCUUUUAACACCUCCCACCUGCACCUUCUAAUUCUUCCUUUGCAUCUUCUGGCUGGACAAAGAGGGUCUUGUGGGGCCUCUGAGUCACUGGAAGAAGGUGAAGCCACAAUAUAGCUGGAGUCUGGUUCCCAGGUGCAGCAGUGUGAUGUGAGUGAGAAAGUAGCCUUUAGUGCAUUAAGCCACUGGGAUCUACAGGUUGCUCGUAGAUCAACCACGUCUACAGACGUGGGGGCACCACCAUGCUCAGCUAAUUUGUUAUAUGUUUAUGUAGAGAUGGGGUCUUGCUAUGUUGCCCAGGCUGGUCUCAAACUUCUGGGCUUAUGUGAUCCUCCCAUCUCAGCCUCCCAAGUAGCUGGGACUGCAGGCUCAUGCUACCAUACCCAGCUAAUUUUUAAUAUUUUUUUCUGUAGAGAUGGAGUCUUGCUAUAUUGCCCAGGCCAGUCUCGAACUCUUGGGCUCAAGCAAUCCUCCCGUCUCAGCCUCCCAAAGUGCUGGGAUUAUAGGUGCGAGCCACCACGCCCAACCAGUUGCUUAAUUCUUACAACAGCCCUCGGAGGUAGGUUCCAUUGUUAGCCCCAAUCUUAUUUAUUUAGAUGGAGUCUCACUCUGUUGUCCAGGCUGGAGUGCAGUGGCAUGAUCCCAGCUCACUGCAACCUUCGCCUCCUGGGUUCAAGUGAUUCUCUUGCCUCUGCCUCCUGAGUAGCUGGGAUAACAGGCACAGGCCACCAUGACUGGCUCAUUUUUUUUUUUUUUUUUUUGUAUUUUUAGUAAAGACAGGGUUUCAUCACGUUGGCCAGGUUGAUUUUGAAUUCCUGACCUCAAAUGAUCUGCCCACCUCGGCCUCCCAUAGCCCCAAUCUUUAAAUGAGGAAAUUGAGGUGCAGAGAGGGUCGGCCACUUGCCAAAUGGGAAAAGCUAGAAUUCUAACCCAGACCAUUUGCCUUCAAAACCUACCCUGACCACCACAGUAACCUGUGAUAAGGUGCAACUCAGAGUAAAUAACCUCCUCUCUGGGCCCUGAUGUCUCUCUACCUACAAUGGAUUUCCUGUUCCUGUGUGGGGAGGGAGGUGCAACACCAGCCCCCGAGCUUUGAGCCUUGCCUCGUCCUCCCUGUAUAUUAAGGAGUGCUCAGAUGUGGCUGUAGCUGCACCUCUUUCUCCAAGAUGGAGCCCACCCAGAGAUGCUGUGUGCAAAAGGCUUGACUCAUAGCCGGCGCAUAAUAUGCCUUCAAUAAAUGUUUGAAAUUAUUAUUCUCGAUGGUGUCACGGUGCUGGCUGAAAGGCAGCAUAGCUCAGCAGUUAAGCCAGACGGUCCGGGUUCAAAUCCCAUCUCUACCAUGUAAUAGCUGUGUGACCUUGGGUAAGUUACUCAACCUCUCUGUUCCCCCAUCUAUAAAAUGGGGGAAAUGACACUAUCUAUUUUAUAGAGCUAUUGCAAGGAUUAGCAUAGAAAAUGCCUCAACCGUGCCUGCCACUGAUGUCAGGUUUUAUUAUUGCUGUAACACUUUCCCCUAUUCAGAGUUUCAUCUCCUAGAUCCCCGGGCACGGCAACAGCUGGCUUUCAGAUCAGGGCCUCCCUGGGAGGUUUUAGUCUCAGCACAAGUCACCUGCCUUCCCCCUCUCUGGCUCCCAGCAGCCCCAUCCUUCCCCCAGUCUUGGCCCGGGUUCCAGCACCGUCUCCUCCCCUCCCCUUUGCCCCUCAGCCCCAGGGUGACCAAAGCCUCUGCCUCGUGGGACGGCUUUCUAGCACUUUCCUCCUUUUAAGAGAUUGACUGCAAUUUCUAUAGUAACAUCACAUUAGCCAGAAAUUAAUGUCCUCAUUAAGAUAGCAAUUAGGCACAUUAGCGUGGCAAUAAAAGAGAAGCUUAUGAAAUAACUGCUGGUUCCAAAAUGCCUUUUAAUUUAGUAUUUUAUAUUGUGCCAUGUUAUUAAUUUUUUUCCC